rnacentral:rRNA from 1 species
AGUCGAGCGAGUCUGCCUUGAGAUCGGAGUGCUUGCACUCUGUGAAACAAGAUACAGGCUAGCGGCGGACGGGUGAGUAACACGUGGGUAACCUGCCCAAGAGAUCGGGAUAACACCUGGAAACAGAUGCUAAUACCGGAUAACAACAGAUGAUGCCUAUCAACUGUUUAAAAGAUGGUUCUGCUAUCACUCUUGGAUGGACCUGCGGUGCAUUAGCUAGUUGGUAGGGUAACGGCCUACCAAGGCGAUGAUGCAUAGCCGAGUUGAGAGACUGAUCGGCCACAUUGGGACUGAGACACGGCCCAAACUCCUACGGGAGGCAGCAGUAGGGAAUCUUCCACAAUGGACGCAAGUCUGAUGGAGCAGCGCCGCGUGAGUGAAGAAGGGCUUCGGCUCGUAAAGCUCUGUUGUUGGUGAAGAAGGACAGGGGUAGUAACUGACCUUUGUUUGACGGUAAUCAAUUAGAAAGUCACGGCCAACUACGUGCCAGCAGCCGCGGUAAUACGUAGGUGGCAAGCGUUGUCCGGAUUUAUUGGGCGUAAAGCGAGUGCAGGCGGCUCGAUAAGUCUGAUGUGAAAGCCUUCGGCUCAACCGGAGAAUUGCAUCAGAAACUGUCGAGCUUGAGUACAGAAGAGGAGAGUGGAACUCCAUGUGUAGCGGUGAAAUGCGUAGAUAUAUGGAAGAACACCGGUGGCGAAGGCGGCUCUCUGGUCUGU